GCGGGGGUGCCCGAGCCAGGUCAAAGGGGUCAGGCUGAGGCCCUGAUGGCGUAGGCCUGCGUGGGUUCAAAUCCCACCCCCCGCACCA
rnacentral:tRNA from 2 species